UUGGUAAUGCUUUGCAUGCCC
rnacentral:misc_RNA from 1 species